CUUGAACCCAGGAGGCAGAGUUUGCAGUGAGCCAAGAUCCUGCCAUUACACUCCAACCUGGGCAACAAGAGCAAAACUCCGUCUUAAUAAAAAAAAAAAAAAAAAAAAGAACAAAGGGUAACCUAUUAGAAAGUAACAAGGGGCAGGGCGUGGUGGCUCAUGCCUGUAAGGCCCAGGCAGGCAGAUCAUGAGGUCAGGAGUUCGAGGCCAGCCUGACCAACAUGGUGAAACCCCAUCUCUACUAAAAUACAAAAAUUAGCUGGGCGUGGUGGCGCACGCCUGUAAUACCAGCUACUCAGGAGGCUGAGGCAGGAGAACCGCUUGAACCCAGGAGGCGGAGGUUGCAGUGAGCUGAAAUUGUGCCACUGCACUCCAGCGUGGGCGACAGAGUGAGACUCUGUCAAAAAAAAACAAAAAAAAAAAAAAGAAAGAAAGAAACAAGGGCUCGGGUGCAGUGGCUUACCCCUGUAAUCCCAGCACUUUGGGAGGCCCAGGCAGGCAGAUCACAAGCUCAAGACCAGCCAGACCAACAUGUUGAAACCCCGUCCCAACUAAAAAUACAAAAAUUCGCUGAGUAUGGUGGCAGACACCUGUAAUCCCAGCUACUUGGGAGGCUGGGGCAGGAGAAUUGGUUGAAUCCGGGAGGCAGAGGUUGCAGUAAGCCAAAAUCAUGCCACUGCACUCCAGCCUGGGUAACAGAGCAAGACUCCGUCUCAGAAAAAAAGAAAAAAAGAAAAAAGAAAAGAGAGUAACAAGGGAGGCCAUUUUAUAAAUGGGUGAGCAGGGAAGGUGACAUUGGAGCUGCGUGUUCCAAGCAGAGAGAAGAGCUAACAUGAAAGCUCUGAAGCAGGGCCCAGCUUGAGAUAAUCAAGAAACCAAGGCCGGGCGUGGUGGCUCAUACCUGUAAUCCCAGCACUUUGAGAGGCCGAGGCGGGCAGAUCACGAGGUAAGGAGAUCAAGACCAUCCUGGUUGACAUGGUGAAACCCUGUCUCUACUAAAAAUACAAAAAUUAGCUUGGGCAUGGUGGCGCGUGCCUGUAAUUCAAUCUACUCAGGAGGCUGAGGCAAUAGAAUCGCUUGAACCCGGGAGGCAGAGGGAGGUUGCAGCGAGCCAAGAUCGCGCCACUGCACUCCAGCCUGGGCAACAGAGCAAGACUCUAUCUCAAAAAAAAAAAAAAAACUACCUGGGCGUGGUGUCGCUUGCCUAUAAUCCCAGCUAUUCAGGAGGCUGAGGCAAGAGAAUUGCUUGAACCCAGGAGGUGGAGGUUGCAGUGAGCUGAGAUCGCGCCACUGCACUCCAGCCUGGCAACAGAACUAGACUCCGUCUCAAAAAAAGAAAAAGAAAUAAAGGAGGCCGUUUUAUAAAUGGGUGAGCAGGGAAGGUGACAUUGGAGCCACGUUCCAAGCCUCCUCAGUAGCUGGGACUACAGAUGCACGCCACCAUGCCUGUCAAGACUUUUUGUACUUUUAGUAGAGACAGGGUUUCGCCAUGUUGGCCAGGCUAGUCUGGAGCUCCUGACCUCGGUGAUCCACCCGCCUCAGCCUCCCAAAGUGCGAGGAUUACAGGCAUGAGCCACUGCGCCUAGCCUGAUUUAUACUUUUAAAAGAUCAUUCCAGCUCUGUGUGGAGAAUGGAUUAGAGGGCAGCCAGGGUUGAAAGCAGGGAGCCCAGAAGGGAAGUCACUGCAGCGUCCAGAUGAGGGAGGUGGCUUGGACUAGAGCAUGGUGGUGGAGAUGAAACACAGUGGCCAUGUACUAGCCUCAGUGACCACUUCCCCCUCCCCUUGGCAGCAUUUGACCCCUUGUCUAUCCUGUCCCCCAGCCCUAAUCACAGGAGGAACAGAUGUGUUUGUGUCAAUGUCCACGUCCCCAGAAGCCCAGGCUUGACUCAGGUCAGCUGAGGUCUGGACAUGGCCAUGCUGAGGCUCCAAGGGCUGAAUCAAUGAACGAGUGAAGGCACCUCCACUCUGCAGCCUCGUGUCUGAAGGCACAAAGAUAUCGGUAACUGAAAGAGAGAAAUGGGGCAGGAGGAGGAAGCUGGGGCAGAUGGUAGUGGUUUUAUGAAAAAGGCAAAAUUACAGCAGUGGUUACAAGAAAUCAGGGCAAAGUGCAGCAUCUACCUAGAUGUCCCAAUCUGGGUGUCCCCAUGUAGGUUGGGACCUCACCUCUGCCCUGAAAAUGGCCCCACAGAGGCAGGGAUGGCACUGGGAGAUGGUGCAGGCGCCAAUGGGUGUGGCAACCUGGAGGGCAAAGCACUUCUGGAGGAGUAUGAAAACCAGGGUGGAGAAGGAAGUCUUGGGAAGGCAACUCUUCUAGAAAGAAUCUGAGACAGACAGGUAGGAGCCGUGGACCUGCCCUACCUAGAGGGCUCAGGCUCUGAAACAUCUCCAGCCAGCAGGAGAAUUAGGGCUGGGGCCAGGGAAGAGCAAAGCAACUGGGCUAAUGGGGUUAAGAAACUCCUAGGGUCAGCCGGGCAUGGUUCAGGCUUUAGGCCCCUCUCCCCAAAUUAGGGAUCAUGGAGCAGCUUCUUUACCCUUCUACAGGUUUUGCCCCACGAGUCUAGUCCUCAGGCCGAGCUAUGAUCUUUCCAGAGUCCCACUGUCCUUGAGACAGAACUCAAGUUCCUGACCUGGCUGCCCAAGUCCACCUUGAUCUGUCCUCACCUAUAUCUCUGCUUCCCCUGUGCCCAUUCAACAUGCCUGCCAUUUAGCAAACCCACCCUGAUCUUUGGGCAUACUGUCCCUUCUCUCUGAGAUGUCCUCAACCCCUAGCUCAGUCUCUGGAAAACUUCUAGACUCAACACACGUCCACCUCCUUCAGGAAACCUUCCCAGGGCAAUCCAGGCCUUGGCCAGCCCUGAGAACACACCCACCAAUGCCCACCACACAGGGCAGACUGGGAAGAAAUAGCCCAUAUACUCCAGGGCCCAGAGGGAGGAGGAAAGGUGUCCUGGAGAGAGAAGGAUCUGAGUCAGGUCUCAAAGGAUAGAAAGCAGAGGAACAGAAAGAGCUUUCUAGGCAGGGAAAGAAGCAGAAGAAGGAAGGAGACCAAGGGCAGUGUCCAGCAGAGCAGGGCUUAGUGUAGGUGAGAGAGGAGGGGCACGGCCGAAGUGCUGGGGGAUACAAGCCUGCACCCCUCCUGUGGGUGAUGGGCACCAGGGGAGGUUGUGGAGCAGGAGACUGGCAUGGCUGGAGCCUGGGUAUGCACAGUCAAGCCAGCCCUGCUCUCAACAGGCUCCAAACCCCACCCUCACGAUGACGCCCAGAAACCACACAGACGAGGAGCUGUUUCUUGACUGUUAGUUGGGCCUUGGCCUAUGUCAUACCCAUGGGCUGCCACAUGGGGGUGGAGGGAUCAGGACGAAGAGAGGGGACCAGA
rnacentral:lncRNA from 1 species